UCAUAACGUGAAGUAUUUGGCGACAUCUAUGGUAACCCUAUCUCUCCUACAAGUGAUAAAACUUGCUUUGAAGAGAAUUCUCUAUCAUAAAGAGACACACAUCGUGAGAAGAAAUCGACAUGUAUUUUUGACAAGACAAAAGAAGAAGACAUUCAAAAAAAUAUGAAUUAAAGGAAUGCGUGGAAGUCUGUUGCUUCCCCUCUACUCGGCGACUGUUCUUCUACUUGUAACAUCUCUCUAUUACAUGACUGGAGCUUGGAAGCGGAUUUUUGACUCCAGAAUCAUCACGGGCACCAAGAUCAGACAACUCAACUCUAUCGCUAACAAUCUCUCGCGUAUCAUUAUGGCCACGGAGACUGAAUCGGCCAUGCUGAAUAAAGACAUUAAUCGCUUCUUGAAAAUUGUACAAAAACAAGUGGAACAUUUAAAGACAAAAACUUAAUGAAAUAAAUGACCACGACAUGUGGACUGGCUGCCAUUCAUAAACAUGAGAGUCAUAGAAUGAAUCAUUGUAAAGACUCAAGAAACAAACACGAACUCUUGUUUGUACAAAAACAAGAGUAAAAUAAUGUGACUAAUAAUCGAGUUGAAUUGGUAAUCAUCUUCUUUCUAAAACACGAAUUUCGUUCUUUUUGUUUAAACAGGUUGUAUCGUUUCUUAAAUCCCAAAAGAAUUUUCAUAGAAUCUUUCCUAUUCACUCUUUUUGAACUUAUUUAUUUAAUAUUUAUCCUGCUUCUCAUGGCUGAAUAUCGACGGAAAAAUUCUUCUUCCUUUAAGAACUGAAUAAAAUAAAGUCCUUUCUUUUACCGAUAAUAGUAAGAGGAAGAGUUUUUCCGUGUGUGUCCCUCUUACAUUUCUUGAACCGCCUGCGCUAGGGUCCCAAAAAUAAAGGCAGCAGGCAAUUUUAGUUGCCCUUCUUAAAAUCGUUCAAACAUUUCAAUCAGCCCUUUUGGAAGAAAUGUCUGAAAAAUGCAUUUUUCUCACUAGUUUAGCAUUAGCCAUUGUUAUAAUGUAGACGAUUAUGUUUUUCCCUUUUUCAAAUAUUUAAAAUAUAAUGCUUGUUUUUGUACAGCUCUUUAUAAUUAAAAGAGGAGUUCAUGGCACGUUCUUUAUCGUUAAUUCGUAAUGUCAGGUACACGCGAGGACAACCAUUUCUAAAGUUAUCUGAACAACGAAUUCCCUAUGUAAAAGCUUCACUCUAUGAAAAAAAAAUAAAAACGCAUUUAUUUUGCUCAUAGAGUGAAGCUUUUGAAGCACAUUUCUUUAAAACUUAGUAAUCUGAAACCAACAAUAAUUGAAAUAAAAUCUACAGUUAUGAAGUGAAAGUCAAUAAGAAUGGAGAAAAGGAAAACCGUAAAAAAUCUAUUAUUGUCACUAAUGAUGCUUCAUAAUAAUUUUGGUAAUAGAUGCCAUUGAAAAUAAAUACCAAAUAAACUAAAAUAGAAAUAGGGUUUUUACAAAAACUUAUUCGGAUUGAAAUUGCAUCGAUUAUGGUAAAUUUUAACAAACCGAGCAGCCAAAUGAUACUGAAUCUAGUGGAUGAGAUAAACUUCAACAAAAAAAGAUCCACUGUGAAAGGCAACAAAUAAUGAUGAGUCAAUUUCCUUGAGUCCUGCUCCAAGAAUUUCUGACACUGCUAUUCGAAAAUAGCCAGUUUAAUAAAUGAUAGAAGAAGAGUUGAUAGCAUAUUUUUGUUAUUAACAUACGAUUUCGCGUUGAAUUAAAACAAACUUUUCAUUUUUAUACAAAAUAUUUUCCACUGAAUUCAUAUAUUGUAACAUUUUCAUCGAGAAAUGAAAGUUUAUAUGAAAUAUACAUUUUGGAAAUUAAGAAUCUAAUAAAGUGGUGCACUUUAAGCAAACAACAUUGAAUGUUCCCUGUAAAUAGAGAAUUGUGAGAGUUUAUUAUUCUUUAAAAUUGUAACUUUUUUAUUGUUUUUCUUUUUUAUGUUAGAAUUAUUUAAAGUAUUGAUAAAGAAUUGUUAUUAAAUAAAGAAUAAUGACGCCACGUAAUAACCAUGAACUGCAAAAAGUUGAUUGUUUACUUUUCAAAGAAUGAAGGAAUUUGGAUCACCCAAAAAAUAAAAAUUUUGUUAUUUA